rnacentral:lncRNA from 1 species
UACAAUUGUGCAGCUUUUAAAAUUGCAGAGUAAUAUAGUAGUAAAAUUUUUUACAUAUUCCAGUAUGGAAAACAAUUUGAACAUACAGAAUCUUCAGGAAAUGACUUCAGAUAGAUAGAUAGAUAAGCUUUUCAACCAACUGAUGGUUUACUGCAAUAAAACCCCCCUUUAAAAAAAAAAAAGUGGGCUGGAAAUCGCAGUAGAAAAUUUUUGCCUUCUCUUUUAAAAUUAGUAUCUCUGAUUAAAAUCUGCUUAUUCUUUCAUGCUCCCAUAAUAGAUUAAGAAAACAAUAACCUUGCUGUAUUUUCAGUGUCAAAUUCAAGACCCUCUGAUUUAUGGAUUCCUCCACAUUAGUGCAUUAAGCAUGUUAAGUUCACAUAUGUUUUUAGUACCUUUUACCAGUGUCCUUCUCAAUAUAGACGGUUCUGUAAAUUAUGAAAUUAUCACAACACCUCAAAAGUUGGGUUGAUUGCUACACCUGAGUCAGGAGUCUUCAAGACAACUAGUUCUCUUACUAAUCACAUUAUUUGG